rnacentral:rRNA from 1 species
CUAACCUAUUGAAACCUUAGCGGGCUUGCCCAAGCCGACCGGACGACGUUAAACAAAAAUCGGUCUGUUCAUUGAAGUCUCGCUCGAGUCUCAAUUGAAACGCUGGCCGACUCUCUAUUUCAAAGAGUCGACGACACCUGGAGUCUGCAGGAACACUCCCCGGGGAAAACUUUCCCCGGGGAACCAUCUGCAGCCACCUUCAUCCCUAAGGGGGAUCGAGCUGGCUCACAGACUAAAUAAAGGUGGAUAUCAUCCCGGCGAUGGUAGUUCAGAUAUAGUCGCGUCCCCAGAGGCGAAUAAUCCGGGGAGCAAUUGUACGUAUUUGUUAAAGACACGUCUAUCUAUACCGGUUCCGUAGGUGAACCUGCGGAAGGAUCAUUA